UAAUUUCGCCAAAGCAUGAGGAGAAAUGAAAUUUUCAAUACUGAGAGGACAUAACGUCGGUUAACUCUGGGAGUAAAGAACCCUCGUAUGCAAGCAACCGAACAAUGCCAUGACUGCAAACAAAAAACAGUCUUACGACUAAUGGCUUUCAGAAGAUUACAACAAAUUAGUCGGGAAGUUAUAAGAGCGGGGUAAGAUACGGAGUUUUCAGACAAAGAAGGAGGGGGAGAUGUUUUAAAACAGAGUAACAAUUUAGCGAGGAGUUCGAAGCCCGAGCCAAACUUGCACAAGAUAAUAAAAUUUACAAAGGAAAACUGUAAAGAAUAUAGGCAAAUUUAUUUCGAGUUUUCCUGUAAUGGAUGUACUUGAGGGACCCAAGAGGUUUGGAACGGAAAAUUCAAGGCUCCCAAAUGUUUCAAAUGUGAAACCUAGUGGGUGAUAAUAGUUGCAGAACUGUAAGCAUUGAAUAAGGUGCAACUGUUUUACAGUGAUUUGUUUCAUCUCACAGUAGAAUGGUGUUCCUUCCAUUAUUCAAAUCAACGUUUUCAGUGUUCGAGAAGCAAGCCCAUCUCUGCUGAAUUUUCCAACCAAGUUAAGCUAAAAGCUUCCAUCUGGAAGUGUGGCCUCUUUGUCAACGACAGUAAAAGUGUUCAGUUGAAAACCUUCGUAAGUGCUGAAAAAUGGGAAAAAGGGGCUACAUGAUAUAGGUCAAGACUACAAAAGGUGAAUAAGGCAGUCAAAUCAUAUCUGAAGUCUCAAUUAUGUUUGCUAGUCUUGAAUGUAUUGAAGGAUAAUUUUUUAUCGAACGACUACAGAAGGUCGACCGAUGUAUUAUUUUCUCAUGGCUUCAUAAGGAAGGCUGGAACUUGAUAAAUAUCUGCUAAAAGCAAUCGUAGAAAUGGACCACUAGUGAAGUCUGUCCACGAUGCAGUUAGCCAUUAUUUUUACUCUUCAAGCUAAAUCUGCAAUUCUUCACAGAGCAUGCUUUUUUUUAUAUUUAGGAAGCUGGCUAUAUAUCAUUGGUGCUACAGAGUUUGGUAGUCGAGGAGAGCUCUUGUAGUGGCAACUAUGUUAUGGCUAUUUUAGCCUUGUAUAACUUAGAAACACAUUAAUUGUGUUGAUAACAUUAAAGGACUACAGCAAACAGAAA